rnacentral:lncRNA from 1 species
AAGAACAUAAUAUAACAUGAUUUAUUGUACAUAACUCUUUAAUACUAAUUGAAUAUAACUAUAACACAAAUCGAAGUGCAGUACAAAUAAUCUCCUCUGUUCUGUAGACAUUCUUGCCUCUCAUUCUUUCUUAAUUGUGUGGCAGGCACUAAAUCUUGUUUAACCUAAAACAUAACAAUAUGGUUCAGUUGAAUAAAUAAUUAUUCCAAAACAAUACAAAAUUUAAAAGUCCCAAACAGUUGUCAUUUGUUUUCCAUCUAAGGACAAAUAGGAGUGUUUCAUCAUUGCAAUGGCAGAAUCCCAAGACAGUAUCAAAAUGUAAAACUUAUAGAAAUACA